rnacentral:rRNA from 1 species
AAAACUAGCCAGUCUUUUGGGUAUGAAAUCCAUUUGGACGUGAGUAGUACUAGGAUGGGUGACCUCCUGGGAAGUCCUUGUGAAAGGGUUUC